AGCCGUCUACAAUUAAGCCGAUGCUCUGGAUUAAAAUAGAAUGAAGGAAGCAUGGUACUGUGCACGGAAACUAAACUAUAGAUCGACAUGUCUGCCAUCUCUGAUUUUUCGUGAUGAGACGGCCUGGUUUAGAUCUACAUUC